rnacentral:rRNA from 1 species
AUUGAACGCUGGCGGCAGGCAUAACACAUGCAAGUCGAUCGAGUGGCGGACGGGUGAGAAAUGUCUGGGAAACUGCCUGAUGGAGGGGGAUAACUACUGGACACGGUAGCUAAUACCGCAUACCAUCGGAUGUGCCCAGAUGGUAUUAGCUAGUAGGUGGGGUAACGGCGCACUUAGGCGAAGAUCACUAGCUGGUCUGAGAGGAUGACCAGCCACACUGGCACUUGGACACGGUCCAGACUCCUACGGGAGGCAGCAGGGGGGAAUAUUGCACAAUGGGAGCAAGCCUGAUGCAGCCAUGCCGCGUGUAUGAAGAAGACCUUCGGGUUGUAAAGUACUUUCAGCGGGGAGGCGUUACUCGCAGAAGAAGCACCGGCUAACUCCGUGCCAGCAGCCGCGGUAAUAA